GUGAACUUGUUAGAUGCAAGAUCUUAUGGAGUGCAUUUCAAACCAUCUCAGUAACCAUGGAUAUCCUUUUCAGUGGAAAAGGAGGAAUGGUAACACAGAAGAUGGUAAUAAUUAUGUACUUGAAUUAAAAAUCUGUGUACAAAAUGUGAUGAUGCAAACGCUUAGGUUGUCAGAACUUUUGAGAUCUGUUUUUAUGGAAAUUUGGCUAUCCUGAGCGACUCAUGGAGUUAUAUCUUUCCUUACAUUCUUCAUGUGAUAGCUACUAAUGCACAAUAAGUAAGCUCAUUAUGACAUGAUAUAGUGGAUGUUUUACCAGUUUCCUAGAUAUGUUUCAUUGUGAUAAAUACAGUUUGACAUUUACUAUAAGUAUCAAAACAAGACUCAUCUCUUACAGUACUUCUGGUGUGAAAUACUAACAGUUCAGUUUCCUAUAGCAGCAAUGUCACUCAAAUGCUGAAGCAAAUUAUAGUUAAUCAUGGAAAUUUAGAUGAGCUUAAUUUAGUUGAAAAACUAAAAUUAAAUCAUAGUUAGAGUCAGUCUUUAGAUUCAUAUGCUGUAGGUUAGUUACCAAUUUUCAAAAUGCUUACCUUGACAAAGUUUCUGCACUGGUAUGUCAGAUGACCAGGAUAACCACAUUUCUUGCAGGCAGCUCUCACAUCUCCCCCGCCUGUGGGGCCAAUACGAGCAAGAGGACGGUCUUCCAUCACCAAUCACAUGGCUGCAAGUAAUGAAUAAGGCUUCUGGACAAACUUUUCAUAAACUGGAUGAGAUCUGGAUUAUGAGAUGGAAAUCCAACCAUGUAUACAAGCUAAAGCAUGGAACAGCAGCCAAAGACAAUAUGCCUGGAAGAAAAUGAUAAUAAUCAACUCAAUAAUAAAUGGAGGAAGCACAGGUCAUCAUCCCUGACAUCAUGCAAUACACUAAAGCCUCCCUAAACCAAACCUGAAUAAGCUGAAUAUUGGAUAACUUGAACACCCUUAUCAACUUCUUCAGCCAGUCUGCCCAGCUCCACUCCAUCCCCAAUCACACCAGAGCCACCAGCCAACAUCUUUGAAUCAGACUCUGAAUGACAAGCAAAAGUACACUAGUAGUACAGUGUACAGACGUACCUCGGUACUCGACCAUAAUCCGUUCUGAGGUGGUGGUCGAGCACCGAUUUGUUCGAACACCGAAACCAAUUUUCCCAUAAGAAAUAAUGGAAAGUAUUUUAAUCCGUUCUUACCAUUAAGAAAAAUACCUAAAAUAUUAUAAUACCUAAAAUAUUAUACUGCGACGCGAGGUCGGACACUCGUACACCACUUUCAUAUUUUGCUAUAAUUUCCUUCUUCAGUUCAAUAGUGGUCCUCACUGUUUUCCUCUUUGCCUUCCCCUUAUCACUGUCUUUCUUUGGACCCAUUAUUAAGGGCUAGAGCAACACGAAAAAGUUUAAAUCUGGGAAGAAAUACUCGAACAAACUGCGUACGUCUUACUCCACUGGCGGUCUGAGUCGAACUGACGCUUACCCGCUGGCCGAGAAGGGCCGAGAAGGGCCGAGGAGCGCGUUCGGGUCGACUCGGCUAGUCGAGUACCGAAAAUCUGUUCGAGGUCCGAUGCAUUUUCUACUCAAAUUUUUUGGUCGAGCACCGAUUUGGUCGAGUAUAGAG